GAUGAACGCUAGCGGCAGGCCUAAUACAUGCAAGUCGGACGGGAUUGUGGAGCUUGCUUCACAUGAGAGUGGCGCACGGGUGCGUAACACGUAUGUAACCUACCUUGAUCUGGGGGAUAGCCUCUCGAAAGAGAGAUUAACACCGCAUAACAUGUUUGAAUAGCAUUAUUUAAACAUCAAAUAUUUAUAGGAUCAAGAUGGGCAUGCGGAACAUUAGCUAGUUGGUAAGGUAACGGCUUACCAAGGCUACGAUGUUUAGGGGAUCUGAGAGGAUGACCCCCCACACUGGUACUGAGACACGGACCAGACUCCUACGGGAGGCAGCAGUAAGGAAUAUUGGUCAAUGGGCGCAAGCCUGAACCAGCCAUGCCGCGUGCAGGAAGACGGCCCUACGGGUUGUAAACUGCUUUUGUACCGGAAUAAACCUUUGUAUGUAUACGAAGCUGAAUGUACGGUAAGAAUAAGG
rnacentral:rRNA from 1 species